rfam:Firmicutes bacterium CAG:176_63_11 Ley3_66761_scaffold_5921, whole genome shotgun sequence.
UCCUACCGCCACGGCGCACUCCACUUCUUGCGCCGCGGCGGCAAAAGAAAAGGAGAAUGAGCCGCUGUGGCUGGCGGUGCGGCAAUGUGGAGACUUGUCGUAAGGCGCAUGGGACAUUCCGCCCUGCGUGAGGCUGUCAUUGCGGAGGCAGGACAGUUACAGCCAGGAAUGUAUGGCA